rnacentral:rRNA from 1 species
UGCGGAAGGAUCAUUAAAGAAUUUAUAAUCCGGGCGAAAGGGGGAUGGGGGAAGCUGUCGCUGGCCUUUUGCGAGGCAGAUGCACGCUUUCUUCUGAACCCUCAGCCGUAUGGGCGCGGGGCGACCCGCGUCUUCAUAUACCCCCUUCGUGUAGAAAGUCUUUGAACGUUAUAAAAUCAUCGAGUCGCGACUUCUAGGAGACGCGAUUCUUUGAGACAAAAGUUAAUUACAACUUUCAGCAAUGGAUCUCUUGGCUCUCGCAUCGAUGAAGAACGCAGCGAAUCGCGAUAUGUAAUGUGAAUUGCAGAUCUACAGUGAAUCAUCGAAUCUUUGAACGCACCUUGCGCUCCUCGGUGUUCCGAGGAGCAUGCCUGUUUGAGUGUCAGUAAAUUCUCAACCCCUCUCGAUUUGCUUCGAGCGGGUGCUUGGAUGUUGGGGGCUGCCGGAGACUUGGAUUCGUCCAGGACUCGGGCUCUCCUUAAAUGAAUCGGCUUGCGGUCGACUUUCGACUUUGCGCGACAAGGCUUUCGGCGUGAUAAUGAUCGCCGUUCGCUGAAGCGCAUGAAUGAAGGUCUCGCGCCUCUAACACGUCGACCCGCCCAACGGCCCGUCUUCUUUCUUGACGUUUGACCUCAAAUCAGGUAGGACUACCCGCUGAACUUAAGCAUAUCAAUAAGCGGAGGA